GCUAGAGCUAUGCUCCGUGAGAUGGUGUCCCUCUAGGAGCAGAGUCGAACACCCCUGAGGGAGCAAAAGAACGGAGUAAACAAACAAGGCCUCAUGCAAAGUCUUUUUAAAAGAUUUUUUUUUUUCACUUUGAGUUCCACGUUGUUUUUUGGAAAUGUGACUUUGUAAAUCGGGGAUAGCCGACCCAGUUUCUAGAGGGCAACCAUCCUGCAGAGUUUACUGUAGCUCCAACCCUAAUCAAACUCAUUUGAACCUGGUGUGUUUGAGUAAGUUUGGAACGAUGUUUACAAAAGGGUAGUCAAGAGCAGGAUUUGCUACCCCUGCCCCAAAGACAUCUUAAAGUUUAAUAUAUGUUGAGAUCGGGGUGUAGCCAACACUUUUCCUGCAGAAUUUUUCUCCAACUGUAAGCGAACACACCUGAACCUGUUAAUCAAGGUUAUAUCACAGACAGGUGUGUUAGAGCAAGGUUGGAACUGAAAUACUCCUGGUUCUUCUGACAAAUCUAGGCUAGUUGCUAAAAUCUAGCAGAAUUAUUUUAGUUCAGCCUCUGACAGGGCUGUUGAAAUUUUCUGUGGGCUCCAAACACUUGCUAACUUGAACUGUACGGUCCCAUUGUUUUGAGAUCGUGUGGUUUGUAAGAAAGCGAAGGAUGGUCAUUUCAGCUGUCCCGACAGUCAGUUGAUGCAAGAGCUGCCUGGUGAGACGCAUCAAACCUCCAGUGAGCACCUUUCCUCAUCUCAUUUAUAAUGGAGAGGCAGCUCGUCCAGUUCCUGGAAGGACAGGUCCGCAGACAGAUCCCUGAGGUCUGACUUUCACCACCUUUCCUACACUGAAGUUGGAUUUAGAAGGCUUCAUUUGAUACAGGACCCUCAAGGGAGAAUUGAGGUUUAGUUCUAUUUUUUUAAUUGUUUCUUCAAGAAUAUUUUCAGCUAUGCUUGGGACAGCACUUCUUUUAUAGCAGAAGUAGAAGCCUUUUUUUCUUCAUUCAGCCCUGUUGGAUAAAAAGAGGCAGGAUGUGGGCACUCCUGAAAGUGCAUCUGUAACUGCAGGGGCUCAUCUGAGAGCAGAGUCCUGGUGCUCUCAAGUUAUUUUGGAUGACAUUGACCUAUUUUUGGCUCUGCUGCUGAAUAAAAAUACCUCUGUCUAAAUGUCUCCUUGUGCAUUAGAGACACCUUGUCUGAGCAGAGACACCUGCUCUAAAGACCUGUGUGGGAAAAGCUCUCAACUCAUCCCUCAUAGCCUUUUUCUUUAUUUGUCACAAUAUGUAAAAGUCAGGUUAAUGCCUAUAUGUUAAAUGUGUUUGUUGUCGUUUGUGUGUAAUCUUAUGCAGAGGAAAAUCAUGAUUCAUUAUAAUCAUUCUAUGAAUCCCAACCAGUGCUGUUCCCUGUUUAAAAAAAAAAAAAAAAAAAUUAUUGGAGCAUUAUAAUGUAGUUUUAAAUGCCCUUUACCCCACAUGCAUAGUACAGCCCUUGAAAUGGGUCAGAAAAAUGUCCAUUUAAGUUUAAAUAAGCAACAUCACGUCACAUUGACUCAUAGGAUGAAGUAAUUUCAGAUCUCAAUGGACCUGCUCAUGCCGACAUUUUGCCCUGUUGUUUUCUUAUGCUCUGUUAUGGCUCAUUAAAAGUUGGAAAAGACAUAA